AACCCCGUAGCUCAGUUGGUUAGAGCCUUAGGCGCGUCGGUUCGAAUCCGUCCGGGGA
rnacentral:tRNA from 1 species